rnacentral:rRNA from 1 species
GGACUACUCGGGUUUCUAAUCCCGUUCGCUCCCCAUGCUGUCGUGUCUGAGCGUCAGUGUCGGGCCAGGGCGCCGCCUUCGCCUCUGGGGUUCCUCCGGAUCUCUACGCAUUUCACCACUACACCCGGAAUUCCACGCCCCUCUCCCGCACUCCAGAACCUCAGUCUGGCAUACCCGCGCCCGGUUAAGCCGAGCGAUUUCAUACACCACUUGAGGCCCCGCCUGCACACGCUUUACGCCCAGUAAAUCCGGAUAACGCUCGCCACCUACGUUUUACCGCGGCUGCUGGCAC